GAUCUGAGCAAGUAAUAUUAAGCAUUAGGCUGUAGGACUGCAGGGUCUCCUAGCACAGGAAAAACAGCUCAGCUAAGUGGAGACACAAGCUCAUAGGCGAUCAUAUACUUGAAGUGACUGCAGGCAUCUUUAAAGGUUCUGAAAUACUGUCUGGCAGGAGACACCUUCUUCAGAAUGAUCUACAUAGCGUCCCUUAUACUUUUUCUGGCUGCUAUGUCAGAAGGUCAGGAACCAAAGAUUGUAGAUUUCACUGGCUGUGUCACUGGCGAAGAAACCCUACAGCUGAGGUGCAAACAUGAUGUCAAAAACAAAGUAGUUAAAUACGAGUUUUCCAUGAGAGCUACAAACAAGGCAGAGGAAAUACUGAACAGCACAAUCAGGAGCUCUGGAUUCACUCAGGUGUACAAAAACACAAUCAGCAUACAGGAACAAGAGAUAUGGCUAACAAUGCUCAACCUAUUCACAAAUGACUACAAUGCAAACUACAGUUGUAGUGUCCAGACAAAUACCAACAACCCAGUGAAAAAAACAAAAGAAUUUCUAAACGGACAAGUUGUUAAAUGUGCAGGAAUUGGCACCUUCAUGUUUGCAUGCAGUUCAGCCUGGUUAUUUGGGCUUAUCCUGUCACUGAUUAGCCUGCACUGAGAUGAUGAAGCAUCGAUGCUUUGAAACAAGACAAGAAGACAGAAGCAGAAAUAAAGCCAAGAGUACUUUCCUUUAAGACAAACUACAUUAAACCAGUGAAAAAAAAUUGAGCAUGAAAUGCACUUUCGCCUGGAAUGAACAGGACUGCAGUUGUACAAUGCAUUUCACAGCACCUUCCAAGGAGCUACCCAUCUUUUGUCAGUUCUUAAAAGGUUAACAGUCAUCACAUAAAAGUUCCUCCCACCUGUGUUUUGAAAAUACCAUCCACCUAUGUAAAUAUUUCCCCUUCCUAUAAUAUUUCCCAGCUCUGCAGUUAUAGUGCAUGAUGUUAGCAUUGCAAGAAUCUUUCAGUGUAACUAUUAUUUGACUAGAUGGAAAAUGCAACAUUAUAUAAUAUCAGAAUAUCAGCACACUGUGAUACAUAAAAAUACCAUUAAUUUCAUGGCACAAAAAAUGCCCACCAGGGCUGGUAGUAGAUAAGAGAUAGACUGCACCUCUAGAUGUAAUGGGUCAUCUCAUGUUAUCUUCCUUUCUUGUAUUUUGAAAUCUUUGGGAAUCAUCUCAAAUAGUCCCCUUUUCCAACUGGGUCACUAGAAGAUCAAACUGAGUGCCCUGUCUGAUAAUGCCAGGAGAAUUUGUAUAUGAGAUGACCAUGGUCCUUGAAGUAUCUCAUCACUGCUAAGGAAGUCUUGUGUAGAUGUAAUGCAGGGCACACAAGAUGCAGAAGGAGUACAAGGAUGCUUUAGUCAUAGAUCUGCUUUGGAAAAACAAAACUUUUAAAUUAGAUCUUAAAGAUAGCAAUCCAUAUGGUCUCAAACAGACAUUAAUAAUCUCUAACCUUCCUAUAUAUAACAAUACUCUGACAGCAAAAUAUGUCAGAAGCAAGUGAGAAUAUCAAGAAGAAUAAUGUACUCUAGUAAAUGCCAUAGUAUAUUGGAUAGAAAUGCAUGAUGUGAAACACAAUGUCUCAACAAACCUUCUUAUUGAAAUAAUGUUGCUCCUCUGUGGAAAUGUAUUAAAUAACUCCUCAGUAACAGCUCAUUAAGGGUGAUGGUGGAGUGUAAUAUUUGUCAACCACCAAAGAACUGGUUCAUUUCAGGAGGAUUCGGGAAUGUUAAAAAUAACUUUAUCAUUAACACUGCAGAACUGCACUCUGGCAAUGAACUUCUGUAUUGACAGUGUAUGGUUAUUUCCUCUAGGCUGGGCAUGUACUGUUGAAUUUUAUUUUAUUUUUUCCUUUGAAUUUAUUUGCCAAAAUAGGAAGAAGAAAUGAGGUAAAUGACAAUGGUGCAAAUCAGAUUUCCUUCACACAUGCCUGACGUUCUCUCAGAAGACCUAUUAUGAAUGUUUUUGCCAUAGUUCUUGAUGGAAGCAGUGGUGGGGGUUAAUUUAUUUACUCAUUCUUUGAGACAAAUUAGUGAGGUAAAACCUGAGGAUAAAAGGUUGGCAUAACAUAAAAGCAAUACUAGUACACAAAAGAGUAAUAUUUAUUUGGGAAACAUCUGAUUAUUUCCUUGAAUGAUAACAAUAAAGAGCUAUUCAAAAAUUUCAAUUAAAUUUAAGAUAAGUAUAAAAAUACAGGAUCAGGUAAAUCAGUAAUAUCUUGCAGAAAAAGUACUCUAUCAGAUUUUCUUUUUGAAAAGCCUUUUAGUAGGUAUACUGCCUAAGAAGGAAAAUCCUUAAUGAAGCUAUUCGAAUAUGAGCUGAUUUUUGAAAGAAUUGGAAACAGGACUUGUGUAUGAGUGUGUGCAUGGGUGUGUGUGCUUGCAUUUAGGCAUGCACACAUGCUUGUGCUUGGAGUGCACUUGUAGCAUCAAGCAAGGGACGUCACUGUGAAUAAGACACUAUGAGUAAUGUAACUGUCCAUUUCAAAGGGAGAAGUGGAUAGCCUAAUAAGCAAAACAAAUAGAGCAUGCAGCACUUCAGAUCAAUAAAGUAUUUAGUAAAGAAUAAUUGUGGCCAAAGGUAAUUCUGUUGGAUAAUUUAGCUGACAAUCCAACCAAUCCAUUAGAAGUUGUAGUUUCACACCAGUGCCUAGAAGAGAGAAUCGCUGACUCCAUUGCCUAGAAAACUGUCAUUAAAUUACAUUCUUCUGGUUUUCAUGGGGACAUUCUACUCAGCCAUCUCAGAAGGAAGCCUGCCCUAUAUAAGCACCCAACACAGAUAUGUUGUCUCUGAAGUUCUUUAUAAUUUCUAACCUGUUCUUCAGGUAUUGUAUUGGAGAUGAGGCAAAAUCCCUUCAUCUCUAGCUCAUUAGACAAAUUAAAGUACUCUGUGUCUUCCACAGAGGUCAGAUUUUGUUAGCCGCCAGUUGAUGACAGUCUUCUAUCAAAUGUUUGUUUAACGCAAAAGUCCCUGUUCGGUCUGUGCACCUGCAGUGGUGUUGAUGGAGGGGUGGCUAUAACAAUCUUAACAUUAUCAUGACCCUGAUUCAGAGAAAGCAGGUGAAACCCCUAGUAUAUAGGUCAGUCUUACAUUGCGUCUGUGUACAUCUGCCCCUGGGUAGAAGCAAGAGCAUUUAGCCAGACAGUCUACUCCGCAACAGACUGAUCAGAAAGCAAAAUUGCAGUAGAGUGUCAUCAAGCUAUAACAAUAAUUGUAACUUGUAUACAAUAUAAAUAAAUAGUACCACAAAACCCUAACAAAUAUUUUGGGGUAUAGUAAAGCUCUGUUUAUUCAACACACACAAAACAGAUAUUCAUAACAUAAGCCCUUGCUGAUAUAUGAGUGAAAAGCUUCAAAGCCAAAGGAAUGCUUCAAGCGUUCAGUUAAUAGACACUCAAGAAAGUUUCAAAUCCUGAGCUGUUUACUCUUCAUAUAUUAUAAUGGUCCAGCAGGAUUACAUCAUUCUUGGGGAAAAUAAAACUACUUUGAUUUAUUCUAAUAUAGCAUGGGGCCAGAUCAUGAUCAAAUGGAGCGCUAGGUAGGGGAAUGGACCAGGGGUCCCGACCACAGCCAUUCUAGUGUCCCAUUAGUCUUUCUCUCCCCAAUUACCAUAAACACUGCUCAAAAUUAUCAGCAUGCAUAAUACUUUUUUCUUUACUUUUGAAAUUAAGGAAAUUAUAUGGAUUUACUACUCUACUACUACCCUUUUUGAUAGCUGAGGUGGAUGGAAAAGAUCUUACAGCAGCUAAACGCAGACAGAUGGGGGUUCAGUUUAAUGUCUCAGCCAAAGGAUAAUGCACUCAAGAGUGCAACACUAUCCCCUUAAAGUGCAUUGCAGUAUCAGCAUUCCAUCUACAUGGUGUGAGAGUAGAACCCACAGCCUUCUACACCAAAGGCAAGUAUGCUUCCUGUUGUGCUUCUAACACUGCUUUAAAAUACUCUAUUAAAAACAUUGAUAGCUAUUUGCUAAAGAAAAGAGUUGUACAUUGAAAAUAGAUUUAGCAUGUGCAACAAUAAACAUUUCUUCACUUAAAACUCGCAUUCCUUGAAAAUGCACUGAAACUCUCAUACAGCCCUGUAGUUUUGAAGACUUUUUGUCUAUUAAGUAGUAAAACAAAAUUGCACAUUUCAUCACAUUUCAAUCAGUUCUGCUCAAUCUGGUAGUUGUUGUAGAGGAUUAAGGGUCAUCUCCUGGUACUAAGGUACAGGGUUUGAGCCUGAGCAAGCUAAUGAAUGAACACACACACACACACACACACACACACACACACACACACACACACACACACGUGGAAUUUCUCCCUAUGCAUCCCAGAUGUUGAAGCAAAGCAGCCUGAUAUAAUGUGCAUUUAAGUCUCUUGUGUUGCAGUGCCUGUGUCGUGCAUCAGGAUGCACACACAGCAACAUAUGAUACUUAAAGAAAAAAAUAUAAACUUUGGUUUUAAUUAAAAAUUAAAUGUUGUUACAGCCUCCAGCACCCCCCCCCCCCCAAGAGAGUGAGACCUAGGCAAUUGCCUAGGUCACCUAGUGCUGGAUUUGGCUCUGAUAUAGCAGUGAACCUGGAUUUAAUUAGUUUUUACAUACUAUGUUUUAGCUUGUAUGAAGUACAGUGUUCCCUAUGGUCUGGCUUAGCAAACAAUUGGAGCAUACACAUAGAAUCUUCUAGUAUCAAGAAAGACUCCUCUACAUAAGAUGUGGUAUUUCUACAGGAUAUGAUAUUUCUUCACUUAGAAGAUAUGCAGAGAUCAUGCAUAAAUGCACAGACAGUGAAGCUAUCUGGAUUCAUCAAUUCCAGAUAUGAGCAUAUAUGCAUAAAUAUAAUGUCUACCUUUGUACCUUUUCCUAUACGUAUCACACAUAAAAAGUGAUGUAAACAUUAAUAUAGACAUGGCUAUAACUGAGAUCCACCUGGCACACUCUCAGGUUAAAUAUAUGCAUUCUGGUAUUUACUACAUACUAACUGAAAUCCAGCUAAGUAUAUACUUUCUGUACUGCUGAACCAUAGAAAUAAAGGUGGACAACACUCUUCUCUCCAGAGGAUCUUCCUUUACUGGAGUAAUUGUUAAACAUUACUCAGUAACAGCCCAAAUGGACAUAUCUCAUAUGUACCAUUUAGCUAGCAUUACCUUUCAUUCUUCAUAGCAGAAACCUUAGAAAUAUGUCCAUGGAGUCAACAGGGAGGGCAUUUGCUUUCACAUGUACAGUUGUGUCUUGACAGAGAACUGUGACCUGUGAUGUUCUUGCUUAUAAUGAGGCUAUCAGGUUGAUCAGCAAUAGCCUUUGUUUUGUGUUAUCUUAAUGCUGCACAUUUUGAAAGCCUUAUAUUUAUGCAAAAUGAUCAAUGUUCACUAUAGGGAAAUACACAAAAACUCAAGAAGGUUUAGCAGGGCUGAGCUUUGCCUGUAGAAUGGCAUGUCCUAAAAUAAAGUGGUUCUUAAUGGGGAUGCUACAAGUUCAGCAUUGCAGUAGGUGGGGGAGGAAAGAAGAUGGCAUUUUGAAAGAUUUGCUGAAGAAUACUGCAUUCAGUGGAAUGGUGUGAAGUCUUUCUUAAAUCAUUAAUUGAAAAUCACAGGCUGGGACAGAGCAGAAGGAAAGGUCUAGAACCAAUGAAAUUUAUAAGAAGGACACCAUGCCCUAUUAUAAUGACAGUAUCAUGGAGAGUUCAAAACUGCAGAUUAUUCAGAAGAUAAACUGUGGGCUACAAUGACAGGAAAGGGGGAACAUCAUCCUUUAACUUUGAAAGGCAUGGUAAGGACAUAUUAUGAGUGUAAACAAUUUAUAAGGGGAAAUGCCAGGAAAAAUUGUGAAGUCAGUUGUUGUUUCUAAGAAGCUUAGUCUUAAAAAUACUUUACCUUUCUAAGCCAUCAGUACAACUGGUGAGCAAACUUAUCCUUCAUUUUGUUUUCCAGACAAUAUUUUGUUUGACAGUCAGUGUUUUAUUACAGUUCAUAUUGUUUUAUGUCUGUCCCAUUCACAACCCACUUCCUGUGACAGCUGACAAACUGUCCCUACCCUUGGACAUUUGAUCCCCUGCUUCAUACCAUUACACCUAGAGCUUUUCAAAAUAAACUCUAGAUAGUGUUGGUAAAGCAUUUCUAUGGCAGAAAAGAUGGCAGUGAUACAUUAGGGGUCAUCAUUGAUGGUAUCCUGAGCUAUGGGAGGAUUUUUAGGGGUCAUCCUCCAUAUUAACAGAGGAAUAGGUGGAUAUUAGGGAUUAUCAUCCAUAGCCUCCAGAACCAUGGAGAAUUUUAUAGCCAUUAUCCAUAGUCAUUGGAGCCACAGACAGAUUUUAGGGGCCAAUAUCCAUUAUCUGUGGAGCCAUAGUGGAACUUUGCAGGCAAUCACUCAUGGUUGAUAGAUAAAUAGGAAAAAAAAAUCAUAUUUAAUACCGUGAUUGAACCUUACUUGACUUUAGACAUGCACUGACAGCAUGUAAGAUCUGAGGGUAUACUUCUGUAUCCCUACAAUGCACAGAUGCAUACACAGUAAGUAAGAUGUGGUAGCAACAAAACCGCUUCAAAACAGAGCUAUAAAAACAAUGCAAGAAUACCUGGAAGUCUUGAAUAUUAACAUACAGUCUAGCACUUCAACUUAAAAAGCAUUAAACUGAAAUAACCAUGUGGAAGUGAUCACCACUUGAGUCUUUAGGAUAAUGACACAUGGUGGUGAAAGCCUAUAUGGUGCUCUUUACCAUUAUAGGCUACUCCCCAUAAUACCUGGCUGCUUCUUGAUACCGAGUCACUGACGGAAUACAGUCACAAUUACCAAUGAUGUGUUAUUGUAGCAUUUUGUUUUAUACCACAUUUAAGAUAAAGGCUUUUGUAUGUAGAAGCUUCUGCCAACAAUACUAGUUUUGAGAGACUAAACUAUCACCUUAAACAACAUACAAAAGUGAUUACAAAUGAAAACCUUUGAAGUAUUAACUCAUUUAGAAGAAUUCUAAUUGAAUGAAAUACAGGGAAAAUUUAUAUUGUUCUGCAUAUUUUAUUAAUUUAAAAUUAAAAUGUGAUAAUUUAGAAGAAUGCACAAAGCAUACAUAAUUCUGUUUAUAGGACCUUAAGUAAACAGUGGACCUUUAGAAAUUGUUUACUCUUCUAAAGAAAAAGUUAAGAUUUCCUGUGCUGCUUUCCUGUUGUACCCUAAAUCAAGUAUAUCUGCUAUCAAAGUGCCAGCCAUGCGUUUUAACUCUGUUGAGACCUUACUGUGCCAAAUUGCAUUACUUGUCCACAUUUUGUUGGGGUAUGAAGGUUGGGAGGAAUUAUUUGCUACCUGAAGUAUCAUGACUGCUUUCCUUCUGAGACAUUGCAUGCUUUUUAUUACUGCUGUGGUGUCUGUAUCUUGUUUACCUGAAAUAAUUAAAAUAUACUUUCAGAUAACUUUCUUUUUGAUGGGAUAUUACACAAGUAUUAUUAUUCCUGUGUUAUUAAACCAAAACUGACUAGCGCAGACUGCCAAAAGCACAUUGUUUUCUUGUAGCAUUGUGUACUGACAAACUCAUUGUGUGCCUAAAGCUUAAAAUAAAAGAUAUCUUUGGGAAAAAA